UACGUAGGCAGCGAGCGUUGUUCGGAGUUACUGGGCGUAAAGCGUGCGUAGGCGGUUGUCUAAGUUUGGUGUGAAAUCUCCUGGCUUAACUGGGAGGGUGCGCCGAAAACUGGGUGACUGGAGUGUCGGAGAGGUAAGCGGAAUUCCUGGUGUAGCGGUGAAAUGCGUAGAGAUCAGGAGGAACACCUGUGGUGUAGACAGCUUACUGGACGAUAACUGACGCCGAGGCACGAAAGCGUGGGUAGCAAACAGG
rnacentral:rRNA from 1 species